AUUGAACGCUGGCGGCAGGCUUAACACAUGCAAGUCGAACGAUGAUUAUCUAGCUUGCUAGAUAUGAUUAGUGGCGGACGGGUGAGUAACAUUUAGGAAUCUGCCUAGUAGUGGGGGAUAGCUCGGGGAAACUCGAAUUAAUACCGCAUACGACCUACGGGUGAAAGGGGGCGCAAGCUCUUGCUAUUAGAUGAGCCUAAAUCAGAUUAGCUAGUUGGUGGGGUAAAGGCCCACCAAGGCGACGAUCUGUAACUGGUCUGAGAGGAUGAUCAGUCACACCGGAACUGAGACACGGUCCGGACUCCUACGGGAGGCAGCAGUAGGGAAUAUUGGACAAUGGGGGCAACCCUGAUCCAGCCAUGCCGCGUGUGUGAAGAAGGCCUUUUGGUUGUAAAGCACUUUAAGCAGGGAGGAGAGGCUAAUGGUUAAUACCCAUUAGAUUAGACGUUACCUGCAGAAUAAGCACCGGCUAACUCUGUGCCAGCAGCCGCGGUAAUACAGAGGGUGCGAGCGUUAAUCGGAAUUACUGGGCGUAAAGCGAGUGUAGGUGGCUCAUUAAGUCACAUGUGAAAUCCCCGGGCUUAACCUGGGAACUGCAUGUGAUACUGGUGGUGCUAGAAUAUGUGAGAGGGAAGUAGAAUUCCAGGUGUAGCGGUGAAAUGCGUAGAGAUCUGGAGGAAUACCGAUGGCGAAGGCAGCUUCCUGGCAUAAUAUUGACACUGAGAUUCGAAAGCGUGGGUAGCAAACAGGAUUAGAUACCCUGGUAGUCCACGCCGUAAACGAUGUCUACUAGCCGUUGGGGUCCUUGAGACUUUAGUGGCGCAGUUAACGCGAUAAGUAGACCGCCUGGGGAGUACGGCCGCAAGGUUAAAACUCAAAUGAAUUGACGGGGGCCCGCACAAGCGGUGGAGCAUGUGGUUUAAUUCGAUGCAACGCGAAGAACCUUACCUGGUCUUGACAUAGUGAGAAUCCUGCAGAGAUGCGGGAGUGCCUUCGGGAAUUCACAUACAGGUGCUGCAUGGCUGUCGUCAGCUCGUGUCGUGAGAUGUUGGGUUAAGUCCCGCAACGAGCGCAACCCUUUUCCUUAUUUGCCAGCGGGUUAAGCCGGGAACUUUAAGGAUACUGCCAGUGACAAACUGGAGGAAGGCGGGGACGACGUCAAGUCAUCAUGGCCCUUACGACCAGGGCUACACACGUGCUACAAUGGUAGGUACAGAGGGUUGCUACACAGCGAUGUGAUGCUAAUCUCAAAAAGCCUAUCGUAGUCCGGAUUGGAGUCUGCAACUCGACUCCAUGAAGUCGGAAUCGCUAGUAAUCGCAGAUCAGAAUGCUGCGGUGAAUACGUUCCCGGGCCU
rnacentral:rRNA from 1 species